UAAAUGUUUUGUUGAUUGAAUGAAUGAAUGAUUUAUUUAUUUUUAAAAUGGGACAGUUCAUAUUAAUGAACAUUUACAGGUAAAUACAAGAGAUUAUAGCCAUACAACUAAUUUCCAUCUCGAGUCCCAUUGGCAAGUAAAAG